UUUUUAUUCUGCCUCCAUUUUCUGAGCCUCAAGCCUCUACGCUUCCCAUAAAUAAUACCUUCAUUUUGUAGCUGCUUUUUUUUUUUCUUUAAAGAUUUAUUCAUUUAUUACAUAUAAGUACACUGUAGCUGUCUUCAGAUACACCAGAAGAGGGCAUCGGAUCUCUUUACAGAUGGUUGUGAGCCACCAUGUGGUUGCUGGGAAUUGAACUCCUCUGGAAGAACAGUCGGGUGCUCUUAACCGCUGAGCCAUCUCUCCAGCCCCUGUAGCUGCUUUUGCGUAAAUCAAGGUAUUAACUACAUGGCAACCUCUGACUUCCGGUUUUCCCCAGAUUUGGGUAAAUAGAUAUGCAGAAUUAAGCUCUAAAUUCCAUGAAGUUUUUGGUAGAGCACUGAACAAAUGCUGACAGUCCUGUAAUUAAAGUGCUGGGACAUAGGAAAAAACGAGACAAAACAGCAUAGUCCCCAAGGAGAGUCAGUAUCAAGCCUUUGCUAGGUUAGACCCCGGUUCUAGAUCCUGGAACUGAAACAGUGAACUCAGGCGAGGUAUCUGUUUCCUGUGACUUAGAAACUGUACUAAAAGUUCCAGUGCUUCAUAAACUAAGAUCUAAGGACACUAGCCUGGUGUUUGAGCGCUGAGACCCACUCCAGAACCUACACUAUCUGUCGAGAAUCGGAAUCUUUUCCAUUUCUGUUUAGUUAGUAGGGGCGCGGAUCACGAGACCUCCAGCGUUACUGGUGAUUUCAGUCCCGGUGGAGGGCGCUUCGGUCUUGUUCCUCUACCCUCUUACAGACUAGGAAGCCGCAGCUAGCUAAUGGCAGUCAGAUCCAGUUUUUCUCUUUUGGCUGAAAGACUCAGGAUUGGCGGCCAAUGCAGGUCUCGAAGGACGGCAAGGUCGGUCGUUAACAAUUGUAGGUCGUAAGAUCCAGUCCAGUUACGCCAAGGGAAACGCCAGCGCUGCCCGUCCGAGAGCUGCUUUACAUAGGCCUUCUUGGAAGGUCUUUCAAGUUUUCCAUUUCAAGCUUCAGCAGUCCGCGAACUCAACUCUUCUCUUUCGCAGACUUAAAAAAAAAAUUCCAGAAGUAUUUUCUUUUCCAUAGACCAGGGGAUGAAGCACGAGAGUGAUGGAACUGAAAAGAUGGGAAGGGACCUUCCCCUUUCCUAGCCUGCAAGCUGCCCUUCCAUUAUCGCAUUACUGCAGCGAAACAGAAACACGACUGGAUUAAAUCGCGGGGCCACCGCGAGGUCACUUGAGAACUACCACUAGGGCGGGGUCGUCACCGGAAGUGACUGCUAACAUUCCCCCGCAAUGUCCCGCCCUCCAAUUGCGCUACCAGUAGGCGACAGGCCGCCGUACUUCCUGCCCCCGGAGCCGUAGUCUGCGACCCCUCUUAC
ensembl:lncRNA